ACUGCCAGUAUCUGCACUUUAACCGAGGCUCCCACUGAAGCUAAGCAGGGCUGCGCCCGGUCAGUACCUGGAUGGGAGACCACAUGGGAACACUAGGUUGCUGCCGGAA
rnacentral:rRNA from 1 species